CGGGACCAGACAAUGGCACAACAAAGAAGACACGGAAUCAGAUAGAUUGGCUUCAAAAUGGGAAAGAAGAAAAACACAUAAUUAUCAGGCAGAUUCUGACAAAGACACAAUGCUGCACGUAACAUAACAGCCAGGUCAAAUGUUACUUCCAGCUACAACUUGCCUCAUUUUCUCAGCCCAAUCAUGAGAAAUGAUAUGUGGAUUUUUCUCAUUUCUUGGGGCAUACCUCAAAAUGAUGAGAAUCCUUCUUCCUGCAAAGCUCACCUGUACAAAUGCAGCCAGUGCAAAGAAGAUCGCCAUGACAACA